GAUGAACGCUAGCUACAGGCUUAACACAUGCAAGUCGAGGGGAAACGGCAUCGAAAGCUUGCUUUUGAUGGGCGUCGACCGGCGCACGGGUGAGUAACGCGUAUCCAACCUGCCCAUCACUUGGGAAUAACCUUGCGAAAGUAAGACUAAUGCCCAAUGACAUCCCACGAAGGCAUCCGAAUGGGAUUAAAGAUUUAUCGGUGAUGGAUGGGGAUGCGUCUGAUUAGCUUGUUGGCGGGGUGACGGCCCACCAAGGCAACGAUCAGUAGGGGUUCUGAGAGGAAGGUCCCCCACAUUGGAACUGAGACACGGUCCAAACUCCUACGGGAGGCAGCAGUGAGGAAUAUUGGUCAAUGGGCGAGAGCCUGAACCAGCCAAGUAGCGUGCAGGAUGACGGCCCUAUGGGUUGUAAACUGCUUUUAUAAGGGAAUAAAGUGGGUCACGUGUGACUUUUUGCAUGUACCCUAUGAAUAAGGACCGGCUAAGUCCGUG
rnacentral:rRNA from 1 species